GCGAACGCACUUUUUGGGUAAUUAUGCGAUAUUUUGAUCGAUAUGACAACGAAAAAGAGCUCACCACUAACAAAACAGCUGACAUUAAAGUGCGCCAAGAUGAGCCAAAAAAACUCGCAAGCCGUCAAUAUCGUGGAGUGGCAUCCACAAGGCUAUGUUGUUCGAGUUAUGGGAGGAGAAAUGUAGUGCCUUUUUUGGCCAAUCCACAAAGGCGCUCCACAAGGAUGCCAAAUUCCUCCUUAUUAAUUCGAAAAUUAUCUUCAAAAAAUGAUUCGUUGUUUCCAGGAACAUCGCGCUCCUAAAAACACCCAUGCCGUUGCUAAAAAGUAAAUGUAUUUAUGUAAAUAUUACAUUGCUGCCAGCAAUGGCCUAUACUCUAUACUUCGCUAAUUUUCCCUCCACUUCGUUAAAAUCCUCAUAAAAAUUCUGCAAUUUAAUAAAAUUUUCCAUUUUCAAA